rnacentral:rRNA from 1 species
AAUGAACGCUGGCGGCAGGCCUAACACAUGCAAGUCGAACGGAUCCUUCGGGAUUAGUGGCGGACGGGUGAGUAACGCGUGGGAACAUACCCUUUGGUACGGAAUAGCCUCGGGAAACUGGGAGUAAUACCGUAUGUGGUCGAGAGACGAAAGAUUUAUCGCCAAAGGAUUGGCCCGCGUUGGAUUAGGUAGUUGGUGGGGUAAUGGCCUACCAAGCCGACGAUCCAUAGCUAGUUUGAGAGGAUGAUCAGCCACACUGGGACUGAGACACGGCCCAGACUCCUACGGGGGGCAGCAGUGGGGAAUCUUAGACAAUGGGGGAAACCCUGAUCUAGCCAUGCCGCGUGAUCGAUGAAGGCCUUAGGGUUGUAAAGAUCUUUCAGGUGGGAAGAUAAUGACUGUACCACCAGAAGAAGCCCCGGCUAACUCCGUGCCAGCCGCCGCGGUAA